rnacentral:rRNA from 1 species
GAUGAACGCUGGCGGCGUGCUUAACACAUGCAAGUCGAACGGAAAGGCCCAAGCUUGCUUGGGUACUCGAGUGGCGAACGGGUGAGUAACACGUGGGUGAUCUGCCCUGCACUUCGGGAUAAGCCUGGGAAACUGGGUCUAAUACUGGAUAGGACCACUUCUUGGAUGGUGUGGUGGAAAGUUUUUUCGGUGUGGGAUGAGCUCGCGGCCUAUCAGCUUGUUGGUGGGGUAAUGGCCUACCAAGGCGUCGACGGGUAGCCGGCCUGAGAGGGUGUACGGCGACAUUGGGACUGAGAUACGGCCCAGACUCCGACGGGAGGCAGCAGGGGGGAAGAUUGCACAAUGGGCGCAAGCCUGAUGCAGCGACGCCGCGGGGGGGAUGACGGCCUUCGGGUUGUAAACCCCUUUCGCUAGGGAAGAAGCGUUUUUGUGACGGUACCUGGAGAAGAAGCACCGGCUAACUACGUG